rnacentral:tRNA from 1 species
GGUGAGGUGCGAGAGUGGUUGAAUCGGGCGGUCUCGAAAACCGUUGAACCCGUAAGGGUUCCGUGGGUUCGAAUCCCACCCUCACCGCCA